GGGUUAUUAAGUGCAAAAAUCAAACUUUUUAGAACAUGGCGUUGUCGCAUAUCAAAUGAAAGCUCAUCUACCCUGUGUUAUAUAUAUCAUACUUCCGAUCUCAAAAAUGUAGGCGGGUGAGGUCAUUAAGUGUAAAAAGCGAAAAGUUUCAAAAGGUAUGCUUGUCGUAUAUCAAACGAAAGGUCGUACAAAGAACAUUACGAAAACAUCACUUUUACAGGAAAGACCUUUCAAUUGUUUUUCAAACAAUUGAGAUACUAGUUUUUUUUCUUCUUUUUUUUUCUUCCAGCAUUUUUUUGGCAAGCCCUCCUACCGCUUCUAUUGCAGUUAUCAAUACCAAAUUUGAACCAUCGAUAGACCUCAUCAUGAAGUUGUACCAGAUGAACUUUUGUAGGAUUUCAUCAUCCCCUUGAGAAGUAAUCUCCCUUAUAUUGAUUAUUUUCAACAUGCCCCCCCCUCGUUGUUUUCAAAGAUAUCAUGACUUUAUUUGGACAAUAGGUAGAUCUAAUCAUGAUGUAUUACCAGAUGAGGCUGCAAAGGAUCUCAUCAUCUCCUAUAAGAGUUAUAUACCCUUGAAACAAUUUCUUUCCUUUGCAUUUUUCUCAAAAAGUAUUAGAGAUAGAAUCGAUUUGAAAACG
rnacentral:lncRNA from 1 species